rnacentral:rRNA from 1 species
GAUGAACGCUGGCGGCGUGCCUAAUACAUGCAAGUCGAGCGAACAGAUCAGGAUCUUGCUCCUUUGACGUUAGCGGCGGACGGGUGAGUAACACGUGGGUAACCUACCUAUAAGACUGGAAUAACUCCGGGAAACCGGGGCUUAUGCCUGAUAACAUUUAGAACCGCAUGGUUCUAAAUUGAAAGAUGGUUGUUCUAUCACUUAUAGAUGGACCCGCGCCGUAUUAUCUAGUUGGUAAGGUAACGGCUUACCAAGGCAACGAUACGUAGCCGACCGGAGAGGGUGAUAGGCCACACUGGAACUGAGACACGGUCACGACCCAUACGGGAGGGAGCAGUAGGGAAUCUGCAGCAAUGGGCGAAAGCCUGACGGAGCAACGCCGAGUGAGUGAUGAAGAUCUCCGGAUCGUAAAACUCUGUUAUUAGGGACGAACAAAUGUGUAAGUAACUGUGCACGUCUUGACGGUACUUAAUCAGAAAGCCACGGCUAACUACGUG